UACGAAGGGGGCUAGCGUUGCUCGGAAUUACUGGGCGUAAAGCGCACGUAGGCGGCUUUCUAAGUCGGGGGGUGAAAUCCUGGAGCUCAACUCCAGAACUGCCUUCGAUACUGGAGAGCUUGAGUCCGGGAGAGGUGAGUGGAACUGCGAGUGUAGAGGUGAAAUUCGUAGAUAUUCGCAAGAACACCAGUGGCGAAGGCGGCUCACUGGCCCGGGUACU
rnacentral:rRNA from 1 species